rnacentral:rRNA from 1 species
GACGAACGCUGGCGGCGUGCUUAACACAUGCAAGUCGAACGGUAAGGCCCUUCGGGGUACACGAGUGGCGAACGGGUGUGUAACACGUGGGUGAUCUGCCCUGCACUUCGGGAUAAGCCUGGGAAACUGGGUCUAAUACCGGAUAGGACCACUGCCUGCAUGGGUGGUGGUGGAAAGCUUUUGCGGUGUGGGAUGGGCCCGCGGCCUAUCAGCUUGUUGUUGGGGUGAUGGCCUACCAAGGCGACGACGGGUAGCCGGCCUGAGUGGGUAACCGGCCAAACUGGGACUGAGAUACGGCCCAGACUCCUACGGGAGGCAGCAGUGGGGAAUAUUGCACAAUGGGCGCAAGCCUGAUGCAGCGACGCCGCGUGAGGGAUGACGGCCUUCGGGUUGUAAACCUCUCAGCACCGACGAAGCGCAAGUGACGGUAGGUGCAGAAGAAGGACCGGCCAACUACUUGCCAGCCGCCGCCGUAAAAC